rnacentral:misc_RNA from 1 species
GGCGGGGAGAGGAGUCAGGUAGCUGUGGCCUAAGAUACCAGACCACGCCCUCCUGAAGCGGCGAGGCGUCCCAUUGGUUCGUGGCUUUCCUUCAGGAGGCGGGGCGGCCAAUGGGAGAGCGAGUUGAGUGGCUUCAAAAGUUAAUUGGUUCGAAUCUCGUCCCGGACACUCCCCCGCCAGCGGCACCAUGAACUCUGAGACAUAAUAUAUAAAAGAGCUUGUCAAUCUUGCAUCAGGUCUUACGGUGAACCCUAUACUGCGGUGAGUGCAAGGCGGAGCGGAGCCAAGUGAAGAUGCAGUGGAAACGCCUGGUUCUCGUGGCCCUGGUGGUGCUUCUUCAGGGCCUGGCGGAGGCGCGAUCCCGCAGGAACACCACCAGGACGCGGCAGAACAGAAGGACACAAGAGAGGUUCCGGCCUGUGGAAAGCAGGCUCAGUGACAACCAGGGGGACGUGGAGCCGCUUGCGCCGCCACACCACUCCCUCCGCCAGCAGCACGCGUACCGGGGCCAGCACGGCGGCAGGGUGCGGCACUUCCAGGGCAGGCACCACGGCCACCACCACACCCCGCACCACGCCCACCACCCCCAGCAGCUGGCCGCCGACCACCACGAGUGCCCUAAUUGCUAUCAGUUGGAGAUGCGCAAGAAACUUCGACUGGCGCAAAUAAAAGACCGCGUGCUGACCGCCACGGGGCUGAUCAACCCGCCUAACAUGACGGGCGUAGUGCUGUCCAGUAACCCAGACGUGCAGGGGAUUAUUCAGACAAUGGAGGUGCCCACGGCGUACCUCCAGGAGCCGCUCUAUAACGAAGACGAGCCAGAUGUCAAAACGGAAAUGCUGUUCUUUCCGGUUCAACCAGGUAACGGAUACACCCCGUCCCCAGCGCCUCCUGAUUUGAACAUUCCUGAGGGCACGGACGUAUUAUACUUCAACCUGAGCCGGACGCCUUUAGGGAACAGGGCCAAGAGAGCCAUCCUUCACGUGUGGCUUAAGCCCACCGUCUCUGAGCUCCUUAGACAAUUACCUGUGUCCAUUUUCAAGGUGUCCAGGCCCCAGAUACCCGGUGGCGAGAUUGAAAAGAAGUCCGUGACCACCGUGAUGGAGUCCUUUAACCCUUACGAAGGCAACUGGGUCAAAAUAGAGAUAUACCAGCUGCUGCAGGAGUGGCUGACGAGGCCGGAGGAGAACCUGGGGCUUGUCGUGGAGGCCUUAGAUUCCCAGGGGCAGCAGGUAGCAGUCACGGACCCACAGGAAUCACCCUCUAAUGCGCCGCUGCUAGAGAUCCACACGGAGGACUCCAACAGGUCGCGGUCUCGGCGGAACAGCGGCAACUUUAUGUGCACCAACGAGAACGAGUCUCGCUGCUGCCGCUACCACCUUACCGUCAACUUCGUGGAGAUGGGCUGGGACUUCAUCGUGGCGCCCAAGGUGUACGAGGCUAACUUCUGCAACGGCGAGUGUCCCUUCCUGUACGCCCACAAGUAUGCCCACACCGCCCUCAUCCAGAAGAUGAACAGCACCAACGCCCAGCACGGGCCCUGCUGCGGCGCCAGGAAGCUGUCGCCCAUGAAGAUGCUGUACUACGACCACGACCACAUGAUCAAGUUUGACAUCAUCAACGACAUGGUGGUGGACCGCUGCGGUUGCUCCUAAGACCCGCGCCACGCCGCGCCCCGCGUCCAGCGCCCAGCGCCACGCGCAGCGCCUCGCGCCCAGCGCCGCGUCGCCACUCCUAUAAGCAUCUGUGAUGGACACUAGGUCUUCUGUAAGGCUACCCUGCCCCGCCCGCCCCGCCCGCCCCGCCUCGCCCCGCCCGACGCCGCGCCGACCACCCAGCCCCUCCUUGCCCCAGUGCGUGCCUCGCCCCGCCUCGCCCCGCCACGCCACCCUCCACCACGGUGGCGGGGCGCGCCCAGGCGACGCCCUGUGCUGCUGCCGCUACUGUUGUUAUUGUUGUUGUUCCUGCUGCUGCUAUUACUGCUGCUGCUGCUGCUGCUGUCGCCGCGUUGCCGCCACUGCCGCCGCCGCCGCCGCCGCCGCCGCCGCCGCCGCUGCCACUGCUGCCGCCGCCGCCGCCACAGCUACCGCCGCCGCCACUGCAGCUGUGUUCGCUUCACCAGCACGUGCGGGUGGCGGGGCGCGGCCAGCACACAGGUGUUGCAGACAAUCAGUGCAAUGAUGUCCCACUCGCCGCCCCGCCCCUGCCGACCCGCCCCACCACCCGGGGACACGCCUCACCGGCCCAUACAGCCAUUCACCCAAAGGGAGGUGCGCACCCUGCCGGGCCACGCGCUGCAGUGGGUGCGGUGAGGAAGUGGCGCCGCGCAGGCCCGAGGCGGGAGUGAGGCACUGCGCGUCGCCGCCACUUUCCUGCUCAAUCUCCAGGGGCGCGGGGUGCCUGGGGGCGCGGCGCGGCGUGGUGCGGUCAAAGGCAGGGCAGGGCAGGGCAGGCGGGCGCCCCGUGAUGCCGCCGCGCCACUGCCGCCUCGAGGAGAGGAGUGCUUCAUUAGCCAGUGACUCCAGAGGGCCAGGAGGAAGAACUAGAGGAUCCUGAACCCCCACCUUGUUUAUACGGGGCGUUCCACUGGGUAACGGGCGACACACAAUACCUAACAGACUUUCUUGAACGCUGGCCUCUCCUAUCACCAG